ensembl:lncRNA
AUGAAAUUGUGUUUUACAGACUUCAACACCACAACUCCAACACCAUCUACAAAACACAUACACAGACAUACAAAACACACCAAAACAACUCCAGCACCAUCUACAAAACACACACAUACAAAACACACCACAACAACUCCAGCACUGACAACAACAAGAACAAUAGUCACAACGCCAGCACCUACUACCACAACUACAGCGCCGACCACCACAACUUCAGCGCCGACCACCACAACUUCAGCGCCGACCACGACAACUACAGCACCGACCAUCACAACUCCAGCACUGAUCAACACAACUCUAGCGCCAACCACCACUACAACAGUAGACACCACAACACUACUGCCGACCACCACAAGUCCAGCGCCGAUCACCACAACAACAGUAGACACAACAACUCCAGCACCGACUACCACAACUCCAGCGCCGACCAUCACAACUCCAGAACUGAUCAACACAACUCCAGCGUCAACCACCACAACAACAGUAGACACAACAACUCCAGCGCCGACCACCACAACUUCAGCACCGACCACCACGACCACAGCACCAACAACCCCAACUACAGAAACCAGGACCAAAAAAACCACACAUAGAAAACACACCACCACAAAAACACCACAUACUAAACACACCACAACUCCAGCGUCGACCACCACAACUCCAACACCAACCACCACAACUCCAGAAACCUCCAUCAUUAAAACCCCACAUACAAAACGCACCACCACAAAAACACCACAUUCAAAGAGCACAACAACUCCAGCAUUGACCAUCGCAACUUCAGCACUGACUACCACAACCCCAGAAACCACCACUACAAAAACCCCACAUACAAAACACACCACCACAAAAACACCACAUAAAAAACACACAACAACUCCAGCGCCAACCAUUACAACAACUCCAGCGCCGACCACCACAACUUCAGCACCGACCACCACAACUACAGAAACCAGGACCAAAGAAACCACACAUAGAAAACAUACCACCACAAAAACACCACAUACUAAACACACCACAACUUCAGCGUCAACCACCACAACUCCAACACCAACCACCACAACUCCAGUAUUGACCACCAAAACAACAGUGGACACCACAACUCCGGAAACCUUGACCACAAAAGCCCCGCAUACAAAACACAACAUCACAAAAACAACACAUACCAAACACACCACCACAGAAGCACCACAUACAAAACACCCCCCCACAAAAACACCACAUACAAAAAACACCACCACAAACACCCCACAUACAAAACACACCACAACUCCAGCGCCAACCACCACAACCACAGUAGACACCACAACUCCAGCACCGACCCCCACAACAACAGUAGACACCACAACUCCAGCGUCCACCACCCCAACUCCAGCGCCGACCAUCACAACUCCAGCACUGAUCAACACAACUCUAGCGCCAACCACCACUACAACAGUAGACACCACAACACUACUGCCGACCACCACAAGUCCAGCGCUGAUCACCAGAACAACAGUAGACACAACAACUCCAGCACCGACUACCACAACUCCAGCACCAGCCACCACAACUCCAGCGCCGACCAUCACAACUCCAGAACUGAUCAACACAACUCCAGCGUCAACCACCACAACAACAGUAGACACAACAACUCCAGCGCCGACCACCACAACUUCAGCACCGACCACCACAACCACAGAACCAACCACCCCAACUACAGAAACCGGGACCAAAGGAACCACACAUAGAAAACAUACCACCACAAAAACACCACAUACUAAACACACCACAACUCCAGCGUCAACCACCACAACUCCAGAAACUUCUAUCAUAAAAACCGCACAUACAAAACGCACCACCACAAAAACACCACAUCCAAAGCGCACAACAACUCCAGCAUUGACCAUCGCAACUUCUGCACUGACUACCACAACUCCAGAAACCACCACUACAAAAACCCCACAUACAAAACACACCACCACAAAAACCCCACAUACAAAACGCACCACAACUCCAGCGCCGACCAUCACAACAACAGUAGACGCAACAACUCCAGAAACCACCACUUCAUCAACAGUAGACACCACAACAACAGCAGACACAAUAACUCCAGCACCGACAACCACAUCAACGGUAGACACCACAACAACAGUAGACACAACAACUCCAGCACUGACCGCCAAAACAACAGUGGACACCACAACUCCAGAAACCUCGACCACAAAAGCCCCGCAUACAAAACACACCAUCACAAAAACAACACAUACCAAACACACCACCACAAAACCACCACAUACACAUCGCACAACCACAAAAACACCACAUACAAAACACACCACCACAAAAACACCACAUACAAAAAACACCACCACAAACACCCCACAUACAAAACACACCAAAACUCCAGCGCCGACCACCACAACCACAGUAGACACCCCAACUCCAGUGCAAACCCCCAGAACAACAGUAGACACCACAACUCCAGCACCGACCCCCACAACAACAGUAGACACCACAACUCCAGCGUCUUCCACCCCAACUCCAGCGCCGACCAUCACAACUCCAGCACUGAUCAACACAACUCCAGCGCCAACCACCACUACAACAGUAGACACCACAACACUACUGCCGACCACCACAAGUCCAGCGCCGAUCACCACAACAACAGUAGACACAACAACUCCAGCACCAACCACCACAACUCCAGCGCCGACCAUCACAACUCCAGAACUGAUCAACACAACUCCAGCGCCGACCACCACAACAACACUAGACACCACAACUCCAGCGUCAACCACCCCAACAACAGUAGACACAACAACUCCAGCGCCGACCACCACCACAACAACAGUAGACACAACAACUCCAGCACCGACCACCACAACUUCAGCACCGACCACCACAACUUCAGCACCGACCACCCCAACUCCAGCGCCGACCAUCACAACUCCAGCACUGAUCAACACAACUCCAGCGCCAACCACCACUACAACAGUAGACACCACAACACUACUGCCGACCACCACAAGUCCAGCGCCGACCACCACAACAACAGUAGACACAACAACUCCAGCGCCGACCACCACCACAACAACAGUAGACACAACAACUCCAGCACCGACCACCACAACUUCAGCACCGACCACCACAACUUCAGCACCGACCACCACAACCACAGAACCAACCACCCCAACUACAGAAACCGGGACCAAAGAAACCACACAUAGAAAACAUACCACCACAAAAACACCACAUACUAAACACACCACAACUCCAGCGUCAACCACCACAACUCCAACACCAACCACCACAACUCCAGAAACCUCCAUUAUAAAAACCCCACAUACAAAACGCACCACCACAAAAACACCACAUCCAAAGAGCACAACAACUCCAGCAUUGACCAUCGCAACUUCAGCACUGACUACCACAACCCCAGAAACCACCACUACAAAAAACCCACAUACAAAACACACCAUCACAAAAACACCACAUACAAAACACACCACCACAAAAACCCCACAUACAAAACGCACCACAACUCCAGCGCCGACCAUCACAACAACAGUAGACGCAACAACUCCAGAAACCACCACUUCAUCAACAGUAGACACAACAACAACAGCAGACACAACAACUCCAGCACCGACAACCACAUCAACAGUAGACACCACAACAGUAGACACAACAACUCCAGCACCGACCAUCACAACUCCAGUAUUGACCACCAAAACAACAGUGGACACCACAACUCCAGAAACCUCGACCACAAAAGCCCCGCAUACAAAACACACCAUCACAAAAACAACACAUACCAAACACACCACCACAAAACCACCACAUACAAAACACACCCCAACUCCAGUGCAAACCCCCAGAACAACAGUAGACACCACAACUCCAGCACCGACCCCCACAACAACAGUAGACACCCCAACUCCAGCAUCCACCACCCCAACUCCAGCGCCGACCAUCACAACUCCAGCACUGAUCAACACAACUCCAGCGCCAACCACCACUACAACAGUAGACACCACAACACUACUGCCGACCACCACAAGUCCAGCGCCAAUCACCACAACAACAGUAGACACAACAACUCCAGCACUGACUACCACAACUCCAGCGCCGACCAUCACAACUCCAGAACUGAUCAACACAACUCCAGCGCCGACCACCACGACAACAGUAGACACCACAACUCCAGCGUCAACCACCACAACAACAGUAGACACCACAACUCCAGCGUCAACCACCACAACAACAGUAGACACAACAACUCCAGCACCGACCACCACAACUCCAGCGCCAACCAUCACAACUCCAGAACUGAUCAACACAACUCCAGCGCCGACCACCACAACAACAGUAGACACCACAACUCCAGCGCCAACCACCACUACAACAGUAGACACCACAACACUACUGCCGACCACCACAAGUCCAGCGCCAAUCACCACAACAACAGUAGACACAACAACUCCAGCACUGACUACCACAACUCCAGCGCCGACCAUCACAACUCCAGAACUGAUCAACACAACUCCAGCGCCGACCACCACGACAACAGUAGACACCACAACUCCAGCGUCAACCACCACAACAACAGUAGACACAACAACUCCAGCACCGACCACCACAACUCCAGCGCCAACCAUCACAACUCCAGAACUGAUCAACACAACUCCAGCGCCGACCACCACAACAACAGUAGACAACACAACUCCAGAAACCACGACGACAAAAGCCCCGCAUACAAAACGCGCCAUCACAAAAACACCACAUACAAAACACACCACCACAAAAACACCACAUACAAAACACACCACCAGAAAAGCACCACAUACAAAACACACAACCACAAAAACACCACAUACAAAACACCCCCCCACAAAAACCCCACGUACGAAACACACCCCCACAAAAACAUCACAUACAAAAAACACCCCCACAAAAACAUCACAUACAAAAAACACCACAGCUGCAGCACCGACCACCACAACAGUAGACAUCACAACUCCAGCACCAACCACCACAACAACAGUAGACAACACAACUCCAGCACCGACCACCACAACAACAGUAGACACCACAACAACAGUAGACACAACAACUCCAGAAACCACCACUUCAUCAACAGUAGACACCACAACAACAGUAGACACAACAACUCCAGCACCAACCACCACAACAGUAGACACCACAACUCCAGCGCCGACCACCACAACAACAGUAGACAACACAACUCCAGAAACCACGACGACAAAAGCCCCGCAUACAAAACGCGCCAUCACAAAAACACCACAUACAAAACACACCACCACAAAAACACCACAUACAAAACACACCACCAGAAAAGCACCACAUACAAAACACACAACCACAAAAACACCACAUACAAAACACCCCCCCACAAAAACCCCACGUACGAAACACACCCCCACAAAAACAUCACAUACAAAAAACACCCCCACAAAAACAUCACAUACAAAAAACACCACAGCUGCAGCACCGACCACCACAACAGUAGACAUCACAACUCCAGCACCAACCACCACAACAACAGUAGACAACACAACUCCAGCACCGACCACCACAACAACAGUAGACACCACAACAACAGUAGACACAACAACUCCAGAAACCACCACUUCAUCAACAGUAGACACCACAACAACAGUAGACAUCACAACUCCAGCACCGACCACCACAACAACAGUAGACACAACAACUCCAGCACCAACCACCACAACAGUAGACACUACAAUUCCAGUGCCGACCACCACAACAACAAUAGACACCACAACUCCAGCACUGACCACCACAACUACAGUAGACACCACAACUCUAGCGUCGACCACCGCAACAACAGUAGACACCACAACUCCAGCGCCCACCACCACAACUCCAGCACCAACCCCCACAACGACAGUAGACACCACAACUCCAGCGCCGACCACCACAACAACAGUAGACACCACAACUCCAGCGCCGACCACCAAAACAACAGUAGACAACACAACUCUGGCGCCGACCACCACAACUCCAGCAUUGACCACCACAACAACAAUAGACACCACAACUCCAGCACCAACCACUACAACAACAGUAGACACCACAACUCCAGCACCAACCACAACAACAACAGUAGACACCACAACAACAGUAGACACCACAACUCCAGGGCCUACCACCACAACAACAGUAGACACCACAACAACAGUCGCUUAUUGUACAACUCCAGCGCCGACCACAACAACAACAGUAGACACCACAACUCCAGCGCCUACCACCACAACAACAGUAGACACCACAACAACAGUCGCUUAUUCCACAACUCCAGCGCCAACCACAACAACAACAGUAGACACCACAACAACAGUAGACACCACAACUCCAGCACCAACCACAACAACAACAGUAGACACCACAACAACAGUAGACACCACAACUCCAGCGCCGACCACAACAACAACAGUAGACACCACAACAACAAUAGACACCACAACUCCAGCACCAACCACCACAACAACAGUAAACACCACAACAACAGUAGACACCACAACUCCAGCGCCGACCACAACAACAACAGAAGACACCACAACAACAGUCGCUUAUUCUACAACUCCAGCGCCGACCACAACAACAACAGUAGACACCACAACAACAGUCGCUUAUUCUACAACUCCAGCGCCGACCACAACAACAACAGUAGACACCACAACUCCAGCGCCUACCACCACAACAACAGUAGACACCACAACAACAGUCGCUUAUUCCACAACUCCAGCGCCAACCACAACAACAACAGUAGACACCACAACAACAGUAGACACCACAACUCCAGCGCCGACCACAACAACAACAGUAGACACCACAACUCCAGCGCCUACCACCACAACAACAGUAGACACCACAACUCCAGCGCCCCCCACCACAACAAUAGUAGACACCACAACCCCAGUGCCAAUCACCACAACAACAGUAGACACCACAACUCCAGCGCCGACUACCACAACCCCUCCCCUGACCACCACAAAAGCACCACAUACAAAACACACCACUACAACCUCAACGCCAACCACCACAACUCCUGCGCCGACCACCACAAAAGCACCACAUACAAAACACAUCACAACAAAAACUCCACAUACAAAACACACCACGACAAAAACACCACAUAACAAACACACCACCACAAAACACACAACCACCCCAGUACCAACCACCACAACUCCAGAAACCACCAUCACAAGAACGCCAGCAACAGAACCCACUAACAUACCUCUAGUACCCACCACCUCAACCACAACAUCUCCAGCUAAUUUCUGUACUGAAAAGAGCGAUGGGAACUACAUUAACCCUCAUAACUCAAAUACAUUUUACCAGUGUUCCAAUGGUUUUACCUUUAUCCAGACAUGUCAAAAAACCUUGAUUUACAAACCAAGUUGCAAUUGUUGUGACAAACCUUAA